UACAGAGGGUGCGAGCGUUAAUCGGAAUUACUGGGCGUAAAGCGUGCGUAGACGGUUAUUUAAGUCGGGCGUGAAAUCCCACGGCUCAACCGUGGAAGUGCACCCGAAACUGCGUAGCUAGAGUCCUGGAGAGGAAGGUGGAAUGCUUGGUGUAGAGGUGAAAUUCGUAGAUAUCAAGCGGAACACCGGUGGCGAAGGCGGCCUUCUGGACAGUGACUGACGCUGAGACGCGAAAGCGUGGGGAGCAAACAGG
rnacentral:rRNA from 1 species